UACGAAGGGGGCUAGCGUUGCUCGGAAUCACUGGGCGUAAAGCGCACGUAGGCGGAUUGUUAAGUCAGGGGUGAAAUCCUGGAGCUCAACUCCAGAACUGCCUUUGAUACUGGCGAUCUCGAGUCCGGGAGAGGUGAGUGGAACUGCGAGUGUAGAGGUGAAAUUCGUAGAUAUUCGGAAGAACACCAGUGGCGAAGGCGGCUCACUGGACUGGUAUUGACGCUGAGGUGCGAAAGCGUGGGAG
rnacentral:rRNA from 1 species